rnacentral:tRNA from 1 species
GCGCCCGUAGCUCAACUGAUAGAGCACCAGACUACAGAUCUGGGGGUCAGAGGUUCAGAUCCUUUCGGGCGCGCCA